rnacentral:sRNA from 1 species
CUUCUUGCUACACCCUCACGACUAAUGACAGAACUCAGUAUUCCUUAAGCACUCUCAUUAGCCGCGCGAAUCACUGUAGCGGAAGAGAUUCAGGUUUUGGAAACGGUAUCUAAAUUUCUCAAUUCCGUUUCCUAGAAGAAAAGGGGCCCGAUUAGGCCCCUUUCC